rnacentral:lncRNA from 1 species
CACUGUCAUGACUUAUUUGAUUUCCAAUUGAAGAAUCCUAGUUGUAGCAGGAAAGGCAUGCAAUUAAGUCUAUCAAAAGAUAUGUAGCAACUGGCUAUUUUUGUGUGGUGAUUUAUUUGUACUAGGCAGAUUUUAAGUGAAAGAUCAUGCAAGGCUAAUGGCAUACUAGCAUCUUUCCUCUCCUCUUCUUUUACAUAGCAUAUUCUUAUAUGAGUUUGCUCAUUUAGAUCUAGAGUUGUUUAGAUUUUUCUCAAAAAGAGAUGAAAGCGGCAUUAUUAUCUGAUCAAUUCAUGUAUGAACCAAAUCAAUUGUUUAUCUUGUGCAGUCUCUAGACCAAUCAUCAAAAUUAGAUUUCUUUUUAGUUCAUUGGGCCCAUAGAGUUUUAGUUUUGAGAAUGUUGAAUUUUGGAUGGUUUCGAUGGUUUUGUUUUGGCUAUGGAGUUUUAGCUAAGCAUAAUUAGGAAAUAUUAUGAAAAUGCUAGAAAAAUAAUAAGAGAAAAUAAUGGAAACUAGGAAAAAGAUCUCAUAUUGUAACAUCAGGAUCAAUGUCCCCGAACUAGUAUCAGUGUUGUAUCUAUCGGUGAACAGUAUGGUACAAUACCAGUUCGGUACUAUACCGACACAAUACGCAAUGGUGUAUUGGUUUUGUACUAAUUUGUCAUUUCUCUCUCUCUCUCUCUAUAUAUAUAUAUAUUAUUUUUUCAAUUUUUUAUUUUUCAAUUUUACUAUUUUUACUAAUUAUUUUAAUGAUUGUGGUUGUUUAAUUUAGGAUUUCAAUGUUGUUUUGAUAUCUUUGAUGCUAGAUUAGUCUCGAGUCUUGACAAACAUACUAUAAUCGAUAAAUUAAUGUAAUUGCAACAUAAUUGAAUGUAUGAGUACAUAUAAUUGAAUAUACAUAUAAUAUAUCAAAUAGAUUUGAAGUACAAAAUACGUGCCAACAUUUAAAAUUUUGUAAAGUUUCUGUGUCCCUCAUACAUGUCGAAUCCUAGUCAGAGUCUUAGACUGAGAUACUACACCAACUUUCUAGAUAAUCUGUCAUCUAUCCUUGUGGUCUAUAAUCUCCACCUCCUGGAUAGCCAUCCUGAUACCGAUCUUCUGUCUGAUGCUGGACUGGCCAUCAAAAGAUUGAUGUAGUGAAAUCUGACUUAUAAGUUGCCUGAGAAUGCCGAGGAUGGUAGCCACUCGAAUACAAUGUCUUAGAUGAAGAAUAUCCAUGUAGGUCAUAGCCUAACUGUGUGGAAUAGAAUUUGGUUUACAACUCAGAUCCAGAUAUGUCCAGAAACUUUACCACACUUGUAAGGUCAUCUACGGUAGCAACACCAUAUUUCAAACCAUCUUGAGAGACUCAUCUUUUCUAUGUAAUCGUAUCUUCAUGGGCUCUACUAGGUUGCAAACUAUGGUUCCAUCUUGUAUGGCACGAAUGAACUACUAUGACUCAUCGGUAAAUCGAUGACCGUGGGGCUCAGUCAUAUGCACUCGUGCCAUAUCAUUGUCACCUUCAUGGCCACCAGAUGUAUAAUUGCUUAUCAUUAUCACUGUUAUCGUGAGAUGAUUUGGGCAACCGAUCAUCUGAGAGUUCAUCAGUCUCGAAAUUAGAGUAAACAAACUCCUCAUCCACUCUCUAUAGUGGAACUAUCGUUCCCUCUCCCAUCCUUGCUGAUUUGAAGAAUUGUUUUCUUUCUCUAGAUGUCCCUAUUAGCUUGGCUUUACUGGAUGGGUUGAUUGGGCCCACCACAUAAUUGUUAUCACGUAAUUGUCGUGUGAUAACAAAAUCGGCCUAUAAUUUCAUAAAUGCCCUUCCCACUUUCAAUCGAUCAUGA